rnacentral:rRNA from 1 species
UACGUAGGGUGCAAGCGUUGUCCGGAAUUAUUGGGCGUAAAGAGCUCGUUGGCGGUCUGUCGCGUCGGCUGUGAAAACCCGGGGCUCAACCCCGGGCCUGCAGUCGAUACGGGCAGACUAGAGUGCGGUAGGGGAGACUGGAAUUCCUGGUGUAGCGGUGGAAUGCGCAGAUAUCAGGAGGAACACCGGUGGCGAAGGCGGGUCUCUGGGCCGUAACUGACGCUGAGGAGCGAAAGCGUGGGGAGCGAACAGG